ACAAUGAACGUAGAAACAAGGAGGUGGUCUUAAUGUUAUGCCUGAUCGGUGUAUCAUAUGGCUUUGUUUGUCACUCUGUAAGAGUAGUCACAUUCCAUCACAAACAUCUGAAAAAUGUCAGCUUCAAAUCAAACAGCAAUACAUUAUGGUUAUUCCAUGUCAGGGAGGGCACAUUGUUUGUAUGUUUUCUAUUACAGUGUAUUGUUGAUAUUCUUCACUACGUUUUCAAACACCUCUACAAAAUGAUUCAUUUGUGCACUAUAUUAGUGCGCAAUAUACUGCAUGGUUUCAGACAUAGCCCUAGUUUCAGUAUGGGAAUUCGUAAAGGUAUUGCUAAGUACAAAUCUUCACCACUUUUAAAUAGGUGUAUCUGUACCAGUCCAAGUGGCAAUGUGAUUUAAGGAGUAAAACAAACAUGGUGCCACAUGUACUAUUGUGCAAAAGUCUUAGGCAUCAGAGAAAAAAAUGUAAAGCCAUUUUUCUUGGCAAUAAACAUGUAUUUAUUCUAAAACACUAACAUUAAAAUGAAUACAAGUAAACAAAUGAAGGUAACACUUUACUGUAAGGUAGUGUUUAUAAGGCUGUUUAAGCUUAUUGAUUCUUAAGCUCGAUUCUAAGGUUUUUUUUUUUCUGAUAUCGUGUUGUGUCAGGACACUUUCUGAAAGAAAUUAGAUGUAUGUUAUGACAACUGACUUUGUAGCUCACUGUGCAUGCCAGUGACAUAAUGCUAAUGAUGUGGCAUAGCUUAUAAAUGGUUUAUGUAAAUGGUCAAGAAUGUGUUAGUUUGUUUAACCAUUUCCAAACCUCUCCUCAAGGAGAUACCAUACUAAACCUAGUUUAGGUAAUGUGUACUUCAUUAAAAUUAAUCAUUGCCUUAGACCUUUGAAAAAAAUGUCUACUAUAAAAACUACUGUAAAAAAUAUAUGCAGCAAUGUCAGAUACAUUUUGAUAGAUUUGAAUACUAAGCAAUGGACAUGACUAAUAGAGGACACUGUGGAAGAAAGGUUUUGUCUUCACUCUCAUUUCACCUUCUAAAUUCUCUUGGAAUAAUGCUGACCAAAUAUUAUUAUUUUGAUCAAUUAUCCAUCAAAGGCUAAGUAUUCUCAAGAGGCAACCAUACCUUCUUCAGUGAUAUUUGAAUACAUUUCCAAUGAUCUCUAAGGCAACCCAACCAGAAGAAUGUACUAAUUUGCUCCGUGCAUAGGCCCCAUGCACUGAUCUGUUUUAAUUAGUGCAUAAUUGGUAGUUAAUGUGUUUUAAUAGGGGAGCCAGUGGAUGGAGCACUGUGAAAAGAGUGAAGAUUCCAUUCAGCAUGAAUGAAUAAUACUAUUAAUACAUCAGACCUUGGGAAAUACAAAUGACAGGCAGUCGGUUUAGGCAAAAGAAUCAUACAAUCCUUGUUUACAUGACGUUCCAAAUGUGGGACUUAUGAUCAGGAGAAUCCAUCUAAUUAACUUUCUUUUCUUUAAUCGUUUAAAUUCACGAAGCAUGAGUGUCAUGUUGGAUCCUGGGGUUCCAGUGAAGUGUCUGAGGUUACGCAAUGUUCGAAACACAGUCACUGUGGGAAAUCCUCAGUGCUCUCUGAAACAGUGCUGGGUAAACACCAUUGACUGAAAUGCUAAUUUACUGCAUCAAAUGACUCAUUCAGCUCACGACUCAGGCGCGGAGACACUUUGAAGUCAUCGUUCGUGCUCAAUUCUUCUCUGGGGCCGAGUUUAUCUUUACAAACAACACAUAAUGACACAUAAUGAAAUGCCUUAAUGCAAGGGUAAGGGGUGUGUUAUUGAAAAUCUCUUCACUUGGCACGUAUAAACAAUUGUUUACUAACCCCCUCUUUUUGCUCUCUGUUGUUCAUGGCUGGAAUAACUGAGGCACAGACAUGAAGGUCCAGCUAAUGAUUUUGACAUGAUAGAAGGAUAAUCAAGGCUCUUGGCCCAUGAUCCAGCUCUGUCGCAAUGCUUUCCCAUAAUAAGAGGCUAAUCUGUUUCUCUCCUCUACUCACUCCAGGCUUGCAAUACAAAUGAGGAGCGGAGUGAAGACGUGGAGUUUAACUUCAAUCAAGAAGCUCUUGUCUAAAGCGGUGGUCUAAAGUACCCCCUAGGAACUCACUGCAUCAUCUCACUGCACAGUACAACAAGCACCUCAGUGCUCUUGUGAUGGUGAAGGAACAAGAGCUUUGUAGGUCUGCCAGCGCUUCAUGAAGGUGUGAUAUCAACACUUGAUGGGCACUCGGAGGAAUGGGCUUGGGAAGUGGAGCAGAGUGCCUGAAGGACUACACAUCUGAAAGUGCGGGUGAAGGCCUGGAGGGGAUUUCGGUACAUCUGUGAAACAUGUUUAUAUCUGGGCUUAGCAAGACAUCAGGGAUUUUGAUUGGCUAAGAUAACCCAAAACUCAUCUGUUCUUCAGGAGCAAAGAGAGCAGAGA